rnacentral:rRNA from 1 species
GCAGUCGAACGGUAACAGGCCUUCGGGUGCUGACGAGUGGCGAACGGGUGAGUAAUGCAUCGGAACGUGCCCAGAGGUGGGGGAUAACGCAGCGAAAGCUGUGCUAAUACCGCAUGUGAUCUGAGGAUGAAAGCGGGGGACCAAGCAGCAAUGUUUGGCCUCGCGCCUCUGGAGCGGCCGAUGUCAGAUUAGGUAGUUGGUGGGGUAAAGGCCUACCAAGCCGACGAUCUGUAGCUGGUCUGAGAGGACGACCAGCCACACUGGGACUGAGACACGGCCCAGACUCCUACGGGAGGCAGCAGUGGGGAAUUUUGGACAAUGGGCGCAAGCCUGAUCCAGCAAUGCCGCGUGCGGGAAGAAGGCCUUCGGGUUGUAAACCGCUUUUGUACGGAACGAAAAGGCUCUGGCUAAUACCUGGGGCUGAUGACGGUACCGUAAGAAUAAGCACCGGCUAACUACGUGCCAGCAGCCGCGGUAAUACGUAGGGUGCGAGCGUUAAUCGGAAUUACUGGGCGUAAAGCGUGCGCAGGCGGUCUUGUAAGACAGAGGUGAAAUCCCUGGGCUCAACCUAGGAAUGGCCUUUGUGACUGCAAGGCUGGAGUGCGGCAGNNNGGGAUGGAAUUCCGCGUGUAGC